rnacentral:rRNA from 1 species
UACGUAGGGUGCAAGCGUUAAUCGGAAUUACUGGGCGUAAAGCGUGCGCAGGCGGUUUUGUAAGUCAGAUGUGAAAUCCCCAGGCUUAACCUGGGAACUGCGUUUGAAACUACAAGGCUAGAGUGUGGCAGAGGGGGGUGGAAUUCCACGUGUAGCAGUGAAAUGCGUAGAGAUGUGGAGGAACACCGAUGGCGAAGGCAGCCCCCUGGGUUAACACUGACGCUCAGGCACGAAAGCGUGGGGAGCAAACAGG